AUUGAACGCUGGCGGCAGGCCUAACACAUGCAAGUCGAGCGGUAGAGAGGUGCUUGCAUCUCUUGAGAGCGGCGGACGGGUGAGUAAUGCCUAGGAAUCUGCCUAGUGGUGGGGGGAUAACGUUCGGAAACGGACGCUAAUACCGCAUACGUCCUACGGGAGAAAGCGGGGGAUCUUCGGACCUCGCGCCAUUAGAUGAGCCUAGGUCGGAUUAGCUAGUUGGUGAGGGUAAUGGCUCACCAAGGCGACGAUCCGUAACUGGUCUGAGAGGAUGAUCAGUCACACUGGAACUGAGACACGGUCCAGACUCCUACGGGAGGCAGCAGUGGGGGAAUAUUGGACAAUGGGCGAAGACCUGAUCCAGCCAUGCCGCGU
rnacentral:rRNA from 1 species